rnacentral:rRNA from 1 species
AUUGAACGCUGGCGGCAGGCCUAACACAUGCAAGUCGAACGAGUGGCGGACGGGUGAGUAACACGUGGGAACCUACCCAUCAGAGGGGGAUAACACUUGGAAACAGGUGCUAAUACCGCAUACCAUCAGAUGUGCCCAGAUGGGAUUAGCUAGUAGGUGGGGUAACGGCUCACCUAGGCGACGAUCCCUAGCUGGUCUGAGAGGAUGACCAGCCACACUGGAACUGAGACACGGUCCAGACUCCUACGGGAGGCAGCAGUGGGGAAUAUUGCACAAUGGGCGCAAGCCUGAUGCAGCCAUGCCGCGUGUGUGAAGAAGGCCUUCGGGUUGUAAAGCACUUUCAGCGGGGAGGCGUUACCCGCAGAAGAAGCACCGGCUAACUCCGUGCCAGCAGCCGCGGUAAUAC